rnacentral:misc_RNA from 1 species
AACGCACGAGACCUGCGGACCUGCGGAAGGAUCAUUAACGAGUGCGAACCCCUCCGUAAAAAAGGGGGGUUACCUCCCGUCCUUUGUUGGGCAUCCCUUUCAAUUGAAAGGAGUUGUCUUUCAUACCUUCUGCUUCGGUAGGGUGACCUGCCGGAACAACCUCAAAAAAUUCUUAGUCAAAAUUGUUCAGUCCGAGAACUUUUGAAAAGCGAAAAAAACUUUCAGCAACGGAUCUCUAGA